rnacentral:rRNA from 1 species
GAUGAACGCUAGCGGCAAGCUUAAUACAUGCAAGUCGUGGGGCAGCAUGAAGUAGCAAUACUUUGAUGGCGACCGGCAAACGGGUGCGGAACACGUACACAACCUUCCUUUUAGUGGGGAAUAGCCCAGAGAAAUUUGGAUUAAUACCCCGUAACAUAGCGAUGUGGCAUCACAUUGCUAUUAUAGCUUCGGCGCUAGAUGAUGGGUGUGCGUAUGAUUAGAUAGUUGGCGAGGUAACGGCUCACCAAGUCUACGAUCAUUAGCUGAUGUGAGAGCAUGAUCAGCCACACGGGCACUGAGACACGGGCCCGACUCCUACGGGAGGCAGCAGUAAGGAAUAUUGGUCAAUGGACGAAAGUCUGAACCAGCCAUGCCGCGUGAAGGAUUAAGGUCCUCUGGAUUGUAAACUUCUUUUAUAUGGGACGAAAAAAGGUCUUUCUAGAUCACUUGACGGUACCAUAUGAAUAAGCACCGGCUAACUCCGUG